rnacentral:rRNA from 1 species
CGAAGCAACGCGAAGAACCUUACCAGGUCUUGACAUCCGAUGCUAUUUCUAGAGAUAGAAAGUUACUUCGGUACAUCGGUGACAGGUGGUGCAUGGUUGUCGUCAGCUCGUGUCGUGAGAUGUUGGGUUAAGUCCCGCAACGAGCGCAACCCCUAUUGUUAGUUGCCAUCAUUCGGUUGGGCACUCUAGCGAGACUGCCGGUAAUAAACCGGAGGAAGGUGGGGAUGACGUCAAAUCAUCAUGCCCCUUAUGACCUGGGCUACACACGUGCUACAAUGGUUGGUACAACGAGUUGCGAGUCGGUGACGGCGAGCUAAUCUCUUAAAGCCAAUCUCAGUUCGGAUUGUAGGCUGCAACUCGCCUACAUGAAGUCGGAAUCGCUAGUAAUCGCGGAUCAGCACGCCGCGGUGAAUACGUUCCCGGGCCUU